AUGGCGGCUUUUCAGUAGUUCUACAGCCUUGCGGGGAAGGGUUUUAGCGAGCUCAACACGGCCCUGGUGACUCUGCUGCCAAGGAAGGAGGGUGCGACAAGUGUAGCGGAUUAUCGGCCAAUUAGCCUCAUUCACUCCAUAGCCAAACUCAUUGCAAAAGUCUUGUCCAUCAGGCUCUCCGGAGUGAUUAACAACAUCAUCUCCCCAGCUCAACGGCAUUUUUAA
rnacentral:rRNA from 1 species